CAGAAUGCAACAGUUUCAAUAUUUUAAGAAUAAAAUAUUAAUGCUCAAUUAACCUAGAAUAAAACAUUAUUUAAUUAAUGCAGGAAAAAUUAAAUAAGGGUAAGAGACAAAACCGAGCAAUUCACACAAAAUUGCAAACGAAAGUUCCUCCGACAGCUGCUCCGGCGGUCGUCGAUUUUCCGGCUCAGUCCUCAAUCUCCGAGUCCUCGUCCAAGAUCCAAGUGGGGCCUCCAAACACUCACGGCAACCACACACACGCACACACACAGUGUAUUCCAACGAAAAACACGAAGAAAACGAAACCCAAAUUCAAACCCUAAUCUCACCGGUUUAUCCCUAAAGAAGUAAACUCGAAUUCAUUGAAAGAAUCGAGCUUUGCUUCUCAAAAAAGGUUCU
rnacentral:lncRNA from 1 species